AUAAUCCGCUAUUCUGCAGUGAUUUUCUUUCACUCCAGUAUCGUUUGUACGUUGCAGCAUCAUCAAACACUAUAUGGCCGAUGAAUCAGAAGAUGACGUAGAUGCUACGAGAGAGCUCAUUUCACAAUGGACAACAGAAGUGAUACGUGACUUUCUACAAGGAGGGGACUCAAGCUUGGAGAAGUCAUUAUUUUUUGGGUGUUCUCUGCCCUGACGCUGGGGGUACUGUUCAGCCAUUCGAGGUAGAGAGGUAGAGAGGAACUGGACGAUGGAUGGAUGGGGAGGGGGGGGGGAAGAAAGGCAUGUAGAGAUGGCCGUCUACUAUGUAUAGAGACAUUUGUGUGCUACUGGAUAAGGACCCUCCAUCACUAGAGGGAAGAAUAAUGAGAAACUACAAAGAGGGGAAGGCAUUUAGUUAUUUUGUCAGUUUCUGGUUAGGGAGACAUUUGUUUCAUCUCCUGGGAGAAAGCUGUCUGAAAUUCAAAAUGUAUUUGAUACUUGAAUAAAUUUAGUUCAUUUUCUAGACUGGUUCAUGUCAAACCAUUGA
rnacentral:lncRNA from 1 species